AGAGUUUGAUUCUGGCUCAGAACGAACGCUGGCAGCGUGGAUUAGGCAUGCAAGUCGAACGGGAUCCAGCAUGUAGCAAUACAAGCUGGUGAGAGUGGCGGAAGGGCGAGUAUCGCGUGGGCAAUCUGCCCCCAAGUUGGGGAUAACCCGCCGAAAGGCGGGCUAAUACCGAAUGUGGACCCUGCUCGCAUGAGUGGGUGUCUAAAGACGGGGACCUUCGGGCCUGUCGCUUGAGGAUGAGCCCGCGUCCUAUCAGCUAGUUGGUGAGGUAACGGCCCACCAAGGCUGUGACGGGUAGCUGGUCUGAGAGGAUGGUCAGCCGCACUGGGACUGAGACACUGCCCAGACUCCUACGGGAGGCUGCAGUCGAGGAUCAUUUGCAAUGGGCGAAAGCCUGACAAUGCGACGCUGCGUGGAGGAUGACGGCCUUCGGGUUGUAAACUCCUGUCGUCCGGGUACAAGAAGCCGGGUGUUAACACCAUCCGGACGUGAUGGUACCGGAAAAGGAAGCCACGGCAAACUCUGUGCCAGCAGCCGCGGUAAUACAGAGGUGGCGAGCGUUGUUCGGAUUUACUGGGCGUAAAGGGUGCGUAGGUGGCCGCGUGUGUCGGGUGUGAAAGCCCACAGCUCAACUGUGGAAAGUCAUCCGAAACUGCGUGGCUGGAGUGCAGGAUGGGAGAGCGGAAUUCUCGGUGUAGCGGUGAAAUGCGUUGAUAUCGAGAAGAACACCGGUGGCGAAGGCGGCUCUCUGGAAUGCUACUGACACUGAGGCACGAAAGCUGGGGGAGCAAACAGGAUUAGAUACCCUGGUAGUCCCAGCCCUAAACGGUGUGCACUUGGUGUGGGGAGAAUUGACCCUCUCCGUGCCGGAGCUAACGCGUUAAGUGCACCGCCUGGGGAGUACGGCCGCAAGGCUAAAACUCAAAGAAAUUGACGGGGUCCGCACAAGCGGAGGAGCAUGUGGCUUAAUUCGAUGCAACGCGAAGAACCUUACCAGGGCUUGACAUGUAGCUGCAAGCCCGCUGAAAGGCGGGCCGCCUUCGAGGGUGCUACACAGGUGCUGCAUGGCUGUCGUCAGUUCGUGCCGUGAGGUGUUGGGUUAAGUCCCGCAACGAACGCAACCCCUGUGUUUAGUUGCCACCCCCGGUUCGCCGGGGAGCACUCUAAACAGACUGCCUGUACAAGCAGGAGGAAGGUGGGGAUGACGUCAAGUCAGUAUGGCCUUUAUGCCCUGGGCUGCACACGUGCUACAAUGGCCGGUACAAAGGGAUGCAAGACCGCGAGGUGGAGCAAAUCCUCAAAACCGGCCCCAGUUCAGAUUGAAGGCUGCAACUCGCCUUCAUGAAGCCGGAUUCGCUAGUAACGGCGCAUCAGCUACGGCGCCGUGAAUACGUUCCCGGGCCUUGUACGCACCGCCCGUCACAUCAUGAAAGCCGUCUGCUCCCGAAGUCGCCGUACCAACCCGCAAGGGAGGGAGGUGCCUAAGGAGUGGGUGGUGAUUGGGAUGAAGUCGUAACAAGGUA
rnacentral:rRNA from 1 species